CUUGACACUCCCUCGACCGCGUAUAGUAAAGUACGUUUUCACCCUCGGGUGACAGGGAGACAGGUGGUGCAUGGUUGUCGUCAGCUCGUGUCGUGAGAUGUUGGGUUAAGUCCCGCAACGAGCGCAACCCCUACGUUUAGUUGCUAACAGGUGAAGCUGAGCACUCUAGACGAACUGCCGUUGACAAAACGGAGGAAGUGGGAUGACGUCAAAUCAUCAUGCCCCUUAUGUUCUGGGCUACACACGUGCUACAAUGGCCGGUACAGACGGAGGCGAAGCCGCGAGGCGGAGCAAAUCCGAAAAAGCCGGUCUCAGUUCGGAUUGCAGGCUGCAAUUCGCCUGCAUGAAGUCGGAAUCGCUAGUAAUCGCAGGUCAGCAUACUGCGGUGAAUACGUUCCCGGGCCUU
rnacentral:rRNA from 1 species